rnacentral:rRNA from 1 species
GCUACGGGUGGCUGCAGUGAGGAAUAUUGGUCAAUGGACGAGAGUCUGAACCAGCCAAGUAGCGUGAAGGAUGACUGCCCUAUGGGUUGUAAACUUCUUUUAUAUGGGAAUAAAACGUUCCAAGUGUGGGAUUUUGUAUGUACCAUAUGAAUAAGGAUCGGCCAACUCCGUGCCAGCAGCCGCGGUAAUACGGAGGAUCCGAGCGUUAUCCGGAUUUCUUGGGUUUAAAGGGAGCGUAGGUGGAUUGUUAAGUUAGUUGUGAACUUUUGCGGCUCAAACGUAAAAUUGAAGUUGAAACUGGCAGUCUUGAGUACAGUAGAGGUGGUCUGAAUUCGUGGUGUAGCGGUGAAAUGCUUAGAUAUCACGAAGAACUCCGAUUGCGAAGGCAGUUCACUGGACUGCAACUGACACUGAGGCUCGAAAGUGUGGGUAUCAAACAGGAUUAGAUACCCCUGUAGUC